CCUACGGGAGACUGCAGUGAGGAAUAUUGGUCAAUGGCCGGAAGGCUGAACCAGCCAUGCCGCGUGAAGGUCAGUGCCCUAUGGGCGUUAAACUUCUUUUGUGCGGGAGCAAUAAUGGUCACGUGUGGCCAGACGAGAGUACCGUACGAAUAAGCAUCGGCUAACUCCGUGCCAGCAGCCGCGGUAAUACGGGGGAUGCAAGCGUUAUCCGGAUUUAUUGGGUUUAAAGGGUGCGUAGGCUGUGAGGUAAGUCAGCGGGGAAAUGCCCCCGCUCAACGGGGUGAAGUGCCAUUGAUACUGCCUUGCUGGAAUGCGGAUGCCGUGGGAGGAAUGUGUGGUGUAGCGGUGAAAUGCAUAGAUAUCACACGGAACACCGAUUGCGAAGGCAUCUCACGAAUCCGCGAUUGACGCUGAUGCACGAAAGCGUGGGUAUCAAACAGGAUUAGAUACCCGUGUAGUC
rnacentral:rRNA from 1 species